GACGAACGCUGGCGGCGUGCCUAACACAUGCAAGUCGAACGGAGUAGAGAGCUUCGGUUUUCUACUUAGUGGCGAACGGGUGAGUAACGCGUGAGGAACCUACCUUUCAGUGGGGGAUAGCGGUUGGAAACGACCGGUAAUACCGCAUAAUGUAUUCGGAUCGCAUGGUCUGAAUACCAAAGAUUUAUUGCUGAAAGAUGGCCUCGCGUCUGAUUAGCUAGUUGGCGGGGUAACGGCCCACCAAGGCGACGAUCAGUAGCCGGACUGAGAGGUUGAACGGCCACAUUGGGACUGAGAUACGGCCCAG
rnacentral:rRNA from 1 species